rnacentral:rRNA from 1 species
UCAUACGUAGGACCCAAGCGUUAUCCGGAUUGACUGGGCGUAAAGAGUUGCGUAGGUGGCAGUUUAAGCGAAUAGUGAAAUCUUGUGGCUCAACCAUAAGGCUAUUAUUCGAACUGGACUGCUCGAGAAUGGGAGAGGUAUCUGGAAUUCUUAGUGUAGGGGUAAAAUCCGUAGAUACUAGGAGGAACACCAAUGGCGUAGGCAGGAUACUGGACCAUUUCUGACACUAAGGCACGAAAGCGUGGGGAGCGAACCGGAUUAGAUACCCGGGUAGUCCACGCCGUAAACUAUGGAUGCUAGCUGUAUGCCGUAUCGACCCGGUAUGUAGCGAAGCUAACGCGUUAAGCAUCCCGCCUGGGGAGUACGGUCGCAAGACUA